UCUGUGUUGGUAUAGCUGGAGAAAUCCGUACCAUCAGAGAAAGCUGCAUCCUGCUAUGCUGGACACCACUGAUGUUGGAAGAAUUAAUCAUUCAUAGAUCAACAAUUGGUUCUUUCAUCUCCCUGGCUUUCUCAGGCCAAACCAUUAUGUAUUUUUUUCCACCUACUGAUCCUGUUACAGUCUAAUUUUUCAGCUGCAUGUAGCAAAGACAUCUCAAAAACACUGAUAUUUCCAGAAUGCACCUCACUGAAAGAAACCAAUGAGGGUACCUAUCUGCUUCUAUGGGCUUCACAACUUUACUAGUCUCAAGUACUGACUUAACAUAAAAUUCUGUACUAAAAUCACAAUCAGAUAAGCUAUGGAAAAAUGUGGAAGGCAAAUUGAAGUGCACCGAAGUCCGUCUUUCUGGCUUUCUACCAACAGCAGUCCAUGUGAACUAAUCCAUGAGAUAGCUGACCUUUUACCAAGUAAAGUUUUAGGACUAAAUACUUCAGCUAAUCAAAAACUAAAUUACAUGUAUACAUUAACUCAACCCAUAUCUUUAAAAUUAAGCUGUAUUCUGGAUAGCCAAAACGGCAGCACAUUCAGUCACUACUAAACCAACAAAAAUACAGCUUUUUCAAUAUCACUGCAGAGAAAGAGAAGGAAAGGUGGUAUUCGUGAUUCCAGAGCGCUGCGUCUCAUCACGGCAGGAACAGGGAAGAAAAAGUCACUGGAAGAGAAGGUACAAAUCCAGUGCUUGCCAGAAAACAUCCUUUCAGCCUUGACACAAGUUGUCUGAAGCUCUGUCUAUGCCAACCCCAACCACUGUGCCGUCAUCAGAGACAUUUGGAGGUUUCUGUGGUACAUUGCAGGGAGCUGCAGCUGCUGUUCACAGGAAACACAUCCAGAUGUAACAAGAAGCAGGGAUUGAACAAGAUAAGAUCUGCACUUGCAAGCAGCCAGAAAGCCAUACAUUACCCAUAUGAGGGAAGAUCACCCACACGGCACAGAUCUGCCAUGAGCAUUGGGAGGGAGGAGGCAGUUCAGCCAAGAGUACCAUGGAUGCCCUUGCAUUGUGGAGAAAGGCACAAGCAAUUGGAUUUAACCAGCUGGGUGGAAUUUGAUUUGAUUAGCU